rnacentral:tRNA from 1 species
GAUUAUAUAGUUUAUUUAAAACAAUAAUUUUGUAAAUUAUAAAAAAAAACUCAUUUUAUAAUCU